UCUGAACCUCAGUUGCUGCUUCUGUCAAAUGGGAGCACGUCCACCUACCAGUGCUAGACUGGAGAGAUCAGGAAAGGGGUGCUAAAGUUACAAACUGUAAAGGGCUGUAGCGAUCACCAAGGCAUCGGAAGGAAACUGGCCAAGAAAGGCAAGUCUCUUAGCUUUGCUGGGCCUCGGUUUCCUUAUCUGUAACAUGGGAAUGAGUAACCCUUCCUCAUAAGCAGAUGAUGCUCGUGACGUGGAUGGAACGCAGAGCAGGACAAGGGCAGUGGCUGCCGUGGGGUCAUUAUUACUGUUGCUGUUAGCCCAGGCCAGAAUCUGCAUUCCCUCUUCUUACUUGGAUACCCCGGUUUUCCCUGGUUCUCAGCACACGUUUAGGAAAUGGGGGGCUUGGAUCACAAAAGGAUUUUCAGGGUCAGGGGCUUGCCCAAGACUGGGGAUUGGCUCCAUCCCUAACUCUCUGAACCAAGCUUUCCAUCUGUAAAAUGGGGUUGACAACAACUUCCCUGAAACCCACAGACAUAUAAAGACCAAUGAGAAACUCAGAAACACCUGGUAAACUGCGAAGUACUACCCACAUGCAAAGACUGUAAUUAUUUCUUCCAGGUGCCUCUUUGCCCUAAAGAGUCAAGGAUGAGUCAAGAACCAAAUGAGAUGAGCCAGGAGGAUCCCUGUGAGAAGGGCCGGAUGGCAUUCCCCUUUACCCAUGGAGCUCACUGCAGUGUGCAGCGAUGGCCCAAGGGUGGAGAGGAAGGUCAGGCUGGGUCCUGCCCUUGGGGGCUCAUGUCCCAGUUAGCCCACGACGCAAAGGCCCAGGUGUGAUGGGAGCACAGAAGAGGGGGGAAGCCGACUCUCUGGGCAAGGGGGAUCAGGCUGGUACAGGGGGUACUUCCCAGAGGAGUCAGCCUUGACGGGACUCUCUGAAAAAUGGUUGUAGCUCAGGUGGGGAGAGGGGCAAGGCACGUGCUGGACAGAGACGGAUUCCAGCAGAAAAGUCCAGAGACAAGAAAGGGGGUAGUGUGCUCAGGAAAAGGGCGUGAAACGUGACUGAAAUGCAGGAUGGGGAGAGGAAAUGGAUUCAAGAUAAAGUCAAAUUGGAGCCGGGCAUGGUGGUGCACGCCUGUAAUCCCAGCUACUUGGGAGGCUGAGGCAGAAGAAUCACUUGAACCCCAGAGGCAGAAUUUGCAGUGAGCCAAGAUCACACCACUGCACUCCAGCCUGGGUGACAGAGUGAGACUCUGUCUCAAAAAAAAAAUUUAAAAAAAAAAAAAGAUGAAGUCGAAUUGGGAAUGGCCUCCAGUUACCACCCUAGGAAGCUCAGACUUUAUCCUGAGGUUGACAGGGAGCCACGCAGGGUUUGCAGCAGGAGUGACAUGGUCAGUUGUGGGUUCUAGAAAGAUCUCUGUGGUAGGCUGGGCAUGGUGGCUCACACUUGUAAUCCCAGCACCUUGGGAGGCCAAGGCAGGUGGAUCACUUGAGGUCAGGAAUUCAAGACCAGCCUAGCCAACAUAGUGAAACCCCGUCUCUACUAAAAAUACAAAAAUUAGCCAGGUGUGGGGGUACGUGUCUAUAGUCCUAGCUACUUGGGAGGCUGAGGCAGGAGAAUUGCUUGGACCCGCGAAGCGGAGGUUGCCGUGAGCCGAGAUUGCACCACUACACUCCAGCCUGGCCAACAGAGUGAGACUCCAUCUCAAAAAAAAAAAAAAUCUCCAUAAUAGGUAUGGAGGAUGGACAAAGGGGGAGGAAAGGGAGGACAGAUUCAAGUUGUUGUGGUGAGCUGAAGGAGGCCUGAACCAAGGUGAGAAACAGAUUAGAUCAAGGCUAUCCAGUUGCAGAGCCCACGAGCUGAGCCAUGCACUGUGGUUCUGCUGGAGCAGAUGAGAUGUAUGAGUUCCCUGCAAACCCUCCUGUUUGUCUCAAGAGUGGGAGCCAUGAAAAGCACCCCAAGAGUAGGGGGGAGACUUCAUGGGAGCAGCCCUCAGAGAGACCCAGAAGAUGCUCCUGUGCUCCUACCCAGAAAUUCAGUCUCUUAAGGACCUUAGAGACAGUUUCAUUCAUGCAUUAGUGAGGAGCGAUGCCUACAACUUGCAAAUGGAGAAACUGAGUUCAGAAAGGAGGGAGUGACUUGUCCAAGGUCACACCACAAGCUGGUGGUAGAAAUCCCUCCAGAAUGCAGGCAUCCCAACAUCUGGUUUUGUCCAUUUCUCCAUUCCCCUGACUCCUCACAAAUGACUUGUCCCCUUGUCCCCAGCAUGGUGAUCUCUACCGGUCCUGAGCAUUUAAUAUGGGCCAGACUCUUCGCCUUACUCUGACUCUCCAAGCCACCCUAUGAAGUGGUAUCCAAAGGCAACUUACUUACUUAAAUACAUGGCUUAUUGAUAGUAUGUUACAAAACACAUAAAAUAAUAAUUGAUGUAUCUGCAUUUCAUGACCACCCUAUAAAUUGCACAAUUCCUAUUUUACAGAUGAGAAAAUUAAGGCUCAGAGAUGGGAAAAGACUGUCUCAGGGACACACAGCGAGCAAGCAACAGGGUGAGGAUUAGUAUCCAGGCAUCUCUGACUCCAAAGCAGGGGUGUCUUGUCCACACCCCAAGCUGCUGUCAGGGAACAGAUGGGAGAGCCUGCAAGGGGAGGUGAGAGGAAGGUGCUGAGCCCCAGUCAUGAGCGAGGUGACAGUUAUUGUAGUGGCUAAACAGGUGGCCCCUGAGAUCAGGCUGCCUGGGCUGGAAUCCUGGUCUACCACUCCUUAGCACUGUGCGUUCAGGCAAACCAUUGGUCCGCUCUGAGCCUUGACUUCCUUAUCUGUAAAAUGGGCGUGGUAAUAAUAUGCCACCCUCAUUAGGUUCCUGGAAGGGUUAAAUGAGUGUGUAGCCCAUGGUACAUGCAAUGGAAGUGCUGCCUCUUAUUUGUGUGGCAUUCUGCAGUGACUGUCUCGUGUACUCUCAAUAGUGCUUAUAACUCUUACGGGUUCUGGAGCUAGCCACCUGGCCUCUGCUACCACUUCCUAGCAGGGCGGCAGAGCUUAGAGGGAGAUUUAAGGUGAGGAUGGUGAGGUUUAAGUCCUGGGUCCCUCAUUGGCAUGGCCUUGUACUUCAUUAUUUAAAGAGACCCCCCCGCCCUCAGUAUUGUAUAACCUUUACUGACAUCCUGCCAAGCCUGGAUCUGCCCCUGUGUGAGGAACUCUACCUCUCUGUGUGCCUCAGUUUUCUCAUCUGUUAAGUGGGAAGAAUGUUAAUUGUGCCAAAUAAAUGAAUUAAUACGUGUAGAAUGCUUUAAAAGUGCCUGGUGCAUAGUAAAUGCCCAAUACCUAUUGGCUUCUUAAGUAAAUCUCCAGUGGUAAAUGUGCUUAAGUGCUAGUAAACGUGUUAAAU
rnacentral:lncRNA from 10 species